GAAUGCCGCCGCGCUUCGGGUGCAGGGUGAGGGCGAACUUCUCCACGGGAUCCGUCGGGGCGCUCCUCCCGGGCGGCCGCCGCAGCCGUCUCAACCUCUGCCCCCGCCGCUGUAUCGCAUCGGGUGCCACCGGGCGUCAGGUUCCAGGGUGGGGGCGAGCCUCCACGGGCUGCACUCCGUCGAGGGCCUCCAGGCAGCGCUCGAGCGCGCGGAGGCGGCGCUCUGCACGCUCGCCGACGCAGAACAGUCGCAAAUCCUGAUAUUCAGAGGGUCAGAGGUAUGUCAGGCGGUGGUGGGCUAUCUAGUGAUUAUGAUAAGGAAGUGACGACUAAUAUGGGGAUCAGCUACAUAAUGAAUAUUUGGAGGCGGCUGGAGGAGGAGUAUGCAGUUGUUUCGCGCCGCUCUAUGGCUCAUUGCUGCAAGAUAUACUGGUGCGUUGCUUUCUUUACUGCUGAUGUAGAGAAGACUUGAUGCCCAGUUCGCGCUAGUAGUCUUGAGGUCACUGGUGCCCCGUUCUUCCUAUUAUUUACUUGGAGGAGGUCACUAUCAAUAUGUCAUAACCGGCUAGGAAAACGAGGACUCACUGCCCAACAUGAUGGAGGAAGGAGGAAGCAAAGAAAGAAGUCGAUGUUCUUCCUGGGAUCAGCUUUAUACUUCCAGGGAUGAUUUUCCUUCCGCAGCAGUUCCUUCCUUUUAAUUUUUAUAAUGGAUUUCGCUGGUUCUGUACAUUAGGAUACGGUGGUCUUGGACAUCAAUGUAGGCUUUGGUUCCCUUUUUUUAUGUCAACAAUGAAGAAAUCUGGGAAAAAAGAUGGAUGAUGUGACUGUA